rnacentral:tRNA from 1 species
UCCCUGGUGGCUCAGAGGUUAAAGUGUCUGCCUCCAAUGCGGGAGAUCCAGGUUCGAUCCCUGGGUUAGGAA